rnacentral:rRNA from 1 species
AGCCCGCUCAGAAACUUAAAGGAAUUGACGGGGGCCCGGCACAAGCGGUGGAGUAUGUGGUUUAAUUCGAUGCAACGCGAAGAACCUUACCUGGUCUUGACAUCCCGGAGACCCUUAGGAAACUAGGGGGUGCUUCCAUCUGGAAGAAUCUGGAGACAGGUGCUGCAUGGCUGUCGUCAGCUCGUGCUGUGAAGUGUUGGGUUAAGUCCCGCAACGAGCGCAACCCUUGCCUUUAGUUGCCAGCAGUUCGGCUGGGCACUCUAAAGGGACUGCCGGUGUUAAACCGGAGGAAGGUGGGGAUGACGUCAAGUCCUCAUGGCCUUUAUGACCAGGGCUACACACGUACUACAAUGGCCGAUACAAAGGGCAGCGACACUGCGAGGUGAAGCCAAUCCCGUAAAAUCGGUCUCAGUCCGGAUUGGAGUCUGCAACUCGACUCCAUGAAGUUGGAAUCGCUAGUAAUCGUGGAUCAGCAUGCCACGGUGAAUACGUUCCCGGGCCUU